UGUUUCCAGGGGCUGUGGCUACUCAUAGCCAUGGGAUCUCCAACGGCAUGCCAGAGUAAUAGGGAGACUUGGACAGCCCAGGUCAUCGCAGUGCCUGCAGCGGCCACUCAGCUUCCCUAUAGAU
rnacentral:snoRNA from 1 species